UUCACAGAGAAAGGAUUAUGUGAGGACACCAAGAGGUGACCAUGAGCAAGCCCAGGAGAGAGGCCUCAGAAGAAACCAGACCUGCUGAUUCCUUGAUCUUGAACUUCUAGCCUCCGGAACUAUCCAACUUGAAUGCUUCCUGAUUAAAUAUAUACAGGAGUGAUUUCAGAGGAAUUUAAGUUUUGGAUCAUUCUUUUGAGAAAGAAAGAAAAGUACCCUUUUAAAAGAGACUUUCUUCUGCCACUGCCACUCCUGAGACAACAUGACCAAUCUCUCCCCUUCCUCCUCCUCAGCGUACUUUCAACAUAAAGACGACGAGGAUAAAGGCAUUUAUGAUGAACUACUUCCACAUAAUGAAUAAUUGAACAAAGGAGAGAAUUGUGAGAGUGAGAAAAAGUGAGACAAAGAAGAAAAACUAUAAAUCAGCAAAAUACAGUGCCAAGAGCUCUGGACCACAAAUCAGAAGACCUGAGCCCUAAUUCCUUUCCAGUCAUUGGAUUUGUUCGUCGCUUGCCAAAACAGCAGCGAACUCUCUGUCAAACUGCAACUCAUUUUAUCGGAGCAAAAACUGAACAAAGAACUGCUAUCAUUUCUGAGGUCAGAGGCAGUGCAGCUUGUGUUACAACUCAAAAGAGUAAUACUCUGAAAAAAGAAAAAAAAAGAUGGCGCUGAAAAUAAACAUGUUCAGCAGCCAUUGUGAUUCAACUUACCCAGAUGUGCUUUUCAUGAGAUGGAGAAGGACGGAUGGAAAAGAAAAGCACACAAAUGUUAAUGGAUACAGUUCAAUCCAAAGAAAACCAUGGAAUAAAACAAGAGCAUUAUUUAAGAUGUGAGAAAGCUCAGGUAUGAGAAAGACAUGGUGCCAUUUUGUAUUUCAUCAUGACACACAUACUCACUGUGUCGAAAAGCAUAGUCAGGCUGAGG
rnacentral:lncRNA from 1 species